ensembl:lncRNA
AUAUUCAAACUCUAGUACUUCAACAUAUUCUAGGAGUAAGAAAGCAACACCUUUCUCUAGAUAAAAGUUAGUAUCAGGAAAAUGAUGUCAGCAAGAUGGCAAAAUAGGAAGCACCAGAUCCCAGUUCUCCCACAGAAACAUCAAGUUAACAGCAAUAUGGGAACCAAAAUACCUUUGUAAGACAGCUAGAAACUGGUUAAUAAUGGGCUUCCGGACCCAAAUGAGCACACAAAUAAUAGAAGGGACAAUUGUGAGGAAGAUAAGAAGGAGUUAAUCAAGUUUUACUUAUACUGGCUCAUUUCUCAACCCAAUGAAAAUCAAAGCAAAAGGGAAAGUAACUGACUCCAACCGGCUCCUCUUUCAAGGGUUAAGGAAUAAAGUAGAACUUCAUUCUACUUUUCUGGCUUUCCUGAAGAUUUCUGAGUUGACUGAUAGUGGCAUAGUGUGAGCACUAGGGUAGAGGCCAUUGAAAACAGUAAGUGCCACAGCACUUUACAGCGGCAAAAACUUUGUAGUGUUUCAAGCAAGGGAGGAGGAGCAAGAGCUUAGGAUAACUGAAACCAAGAACUCUUAAGGAAAAAUACAGGAAACGAAGAUAGCCAAAACCACCCAUAUACAGUAUAAGUUCUGAGAGAUCCCAGAAUCCCUACCUGGACUGACUGGCAAAGGUUUUCCCCUACAGGAAGCCCAGAAGUAAAACUGGCAAAAGUGGCUAUUUCCAUCAAUGCCCCAAAUUUCAAAAAUUAAAAAAAAGAAAAUCACAGAAGGUUCUCUGUCAAAGUAGGUUGAGGUUGGGCAUUGUCACUGCAGCAGCUUGGGUCACUUCUGUGACAUAGGUUUGAUUCCUGGUCCGGAAACUUCCACAUGCUGCAGGCAGAGCCAACAAAAAAAAUUAAAAUUAAAAUAAAACAAUAUUAAUACCAAACUUUAAAAAAAAGCAUUGAAUUGGGAGUUCCCGUCAUGGCUCAGGGGUUAACGAAUCCAACUAGGAACCAUGAGGUGGCGGGUUUGAUCUCUGGCCUUGCUCAGUGGGUUAAGGAUCCAGCGUUGCCGUGAGCUGUGGUAUAGGUCAAAGACGUGGCUCGGAUCCCACGUUGCUGUGGCUCUGGUGUAGGCUGGUGGCUACAGCUCCGACUGGAUCCCUAGCCUGGGAACCUCCAUAUGCUGCGGGAGCAGCCCAAGAAAUGGCAAAAAGACAAAAAAAAAUUUUUUUAAUUAAAAAAUUAUAAAAAUAAAAAAACCAUAGAAUCAGUGUCCCCAUGGUGGCUCAGCAGAAACAAUCUGAUGAACAUCCAUGAGGAUGCAGGUUCAAUCCCUGGCCUUGCUCAGCAGGUUAAGGAUGCAGCGUUGCUGUGAGCUGUAGUGCAAAGGCAGCUCGGAUCCCUUGUUGCUGUGGCUGUGGCCGGCACUACAGCUCCUAUUCGAGCCCUAGCCUAGGAACCUCCAUAUGCUGCAGAUGAAUUUUUUAAACCAUCUUAGAAAUGCAGAAAUGCAGAAAUGUAAGAGAACACAGACAACUAAACAAAACCAGGACUAUGACAUAUAAACAAAAUGAGAAUUUUAGCAAAGAACUCCAAAAAGCAUGCAAUUGUUGGAGUCUCACACCAAAACAUCUAAUAAUUAUUGCUAAAAGUCAGACUAAAAGAGAAUCUCAAAAGGAGCAAGAAAAAAUGACUUACUUAUCACAUACAAAUGAUCCUAUAUAUGAUUAUGAGAAAUUUUGCAAGCAGAAACUUGCAGGCCAGGAGAAUGAUGAUAUAUAUAUAUUCAAGAGGAUCAAAAAACUUUUUCAAGUGUUUUCCCCCAGUAAUUGAGAUUAUUAUCUG